AAUAAUGCUUCCUUCCUCUUUUAUGCAUGCGCUUCAUGUUCUUCCUUGUUUGUGUAAACCGUAGUCUUAGUUUUCACACUUGCAGUAAUCAGCUCACCCAUCGCAUUCAUGGAUACAGAGCACCUGGAUACAAUGACCACAGUCAAAGAAAGAAUUUAAGCUAGAAAGGUGAAAGUUGAUAUGAACUGCUUCUUCAGGGGCUUUCCUAUCCAGCACAUCUGCACAUGCUCUGUUGCUGCUGUUUCUUAUGCAAGUGAUCCCUCCGAUGGGGCCUCGCCCUGCCUUAACCAGUGCCUUUCGCUGGAGCCUGGAGUACGAUUUGUGUGUGUGUCACAGUGACAAUGACGGCAGUGAGGCCGAACGUCUGGUCUCCUACCUC